AAAGACAUUUUCCAGUUCAUUAUUUGUAAUAUAAUUGUGUUCAUACAUAAUGACUUUUGAGCUUUUCUUUAAGAAUGUUCUGUUUGGAAUUUUCACUUUUGAGAAGCAAUGGUACGGAAGCCCUGAACCGCGAGUUACAUCAGAUCACGCUCCAGCAGCUCUUUUUAGAAGCCAUCUCUCUCUCUCUCAGCUUUUCCUUUCCUAUUUUUCCAAACUGUAAUCUGUAAUUCAUUUACACAUAGUAGACUCUCUAUCUGUGGUUCAUCAUGGCAUAUUUCAAAACUUAAUCAAAUUUUGACCAAUUCUUUCAGAAAGCUGCUAGAAUUAACUUGAACUCGAAGCUCUCGAUUCUGAUCUUGAAGAAGCUGUCAAGGAGGCUGAACAAGUCCUUCAAAGGUUCAGCCCUUCACAGGGAAGCCCAAAGGAAGGCCUAUCAUGGGAUUUGAAUUUGACCGUAUUGUGCGUUUACAGAGAAGACCCAAAGCUGCAAAGGCAAACACUUCCAAUGGAUUUCUCACAGAUUUCUCCAUCAGCUCUCCACAAUAUCAGCCCUUCCGAAAGCUUCCACAUCUCUCUCUCUCGUGUGGCACAUCUGCUCUCAGUCCUUUACUGCCAACUUCCAGUCUUCUCACGUCUACUUAUAUAUAUAUAUAGAUAUAUUCUUGAUGAAAAUUAUAAUUGUCAAAAAAUAUAUAUAAUUGUGAACCAUUUUAAUCGGUCCUGCAUUUAGUCACAAUAGAAGCAAACAAUAAUUACAGGAGAAUAAUAAUCGUAAAAUAUUGAAAUAUUGUUCUUAAUAAUUUUUUGCCUAUUUGCUCGUUAAAGGGAAGAAAAUAAUAUCUUUUCAACUGGAGCCUCGAAACUCCUGGUUUGUAAAAUGUUAUUUGGCAUCUUAUGACAUUUUCUGUAAACAAAUUCUCUUUUUAUUUUUGAAUAUUAGACAGUGUUUUUUAAAGGGGUUUUAUAUUGCAUAUUUCUUAGUUACAUAUUUGUUUCCAUGUACCCAUUAAUUACUUCAAUCAAUCUGUCAUUGUUUUAAGUUGUUAUAUUUCAAUAUAACAGUUUUUUUUUUUCCAUAGUGGCACAAACUGGAGAGAGAGUGCUGUUCUGGGCACUAUGUUUGUUUUGGAAAAGUCUGACAUAUCAAUAAACAUGCAAUUUGUAAGUUUUUAUUUUUAUUUUUUUAUAUAUAUUCCUGUUGUUCAACUGGCAGAGCUAAGAAUGACAAGUUUGUACGGUCCAUUUCCAGGAAACAUAAAAGUGAUUAAUUGUAUACCUUUAAUACACUAAAUACACUGUAAAUGUUACAGAACCAAAAUUGAAUAGUGGAAACAUUCUGCAUGUUUGAAUAAAUAUCAGAGGUUGGU